rnacentral:rRNA from 1 species
CGGGGUGAGUAAUGUCUGGGAAACUGCCUGAUGGAAGGGGAUAACUGCUGGAAACGGUAGCUAAUACCGCAUAACGUCGCAAGACCAAAGAGGGGGACCUUCGGGCCUCUUGCCAUCGGAUGUGCCCAGAUGGGAUUAGCUAGUAGGUGGGGUAACGGCUCACCUAGGCGACGAUCCCUAGCUGGUCUGAGAGGAUGACCAGCCACACUGGAACUGAGACACGGUCCAG